GGGGAAUUUUGCGCAAUGGGGGCGACCCUGACGCAGCGACGCCGUGUGGGUGAAGAAGGCCUUCGGGUUGUAAAGCCUUGUUUAGGGGGAAGAUGGUGACGGUACCCCUGGAGGAAGCCCCGGCUAACUACGUGCCAGCAGCCGCGGUAAUACGUAGGGGGCGAGCGUUGUCCGGAAUUAUUGGGCGUAAAGGGCGUGUAGGCGGUCAUGCAAGUCGGCUGUGAAACCCCCCGGCUUAACCGUGGGCUUGCAGUUGAAACUGUGUGGCUUGAGUGCAGGAGAGGAGGGUGGAAUUCCUGGUGUAGCGGUGAAAUGCGUAGAUAUCAGGAGGAACACCGGUGGCGAAGGCGGCCUUCUGGCCUGUUACUGACGCUGAGGCGCGAAAGCCAGGGGAGCGAAC
rnacentral:rRNA from 1 species